rnacentral:misc_RNA from 1 species
GAUGAAGAACGUAGCGAAAUGCGAUACGUAAUGUGAAUUGCAAAUUCAGUGAAUCAUCGAGUCUUUGAACGCACAUUGCGCCCCCUGGUAUUCCGGGGGGCAUGCCUGACCGAGCGUCAUUGCUGCCCUCAAGCACGGCUUGUGUGUUGGGCCCCGUCCUCCGAUCCCGGGGGACGGGCCCGAAAGGCAGCGGCGGCACCGCGUCCGGUCCUCGAGCGUAUGGGGCUUUGUCACCCGCUCUGUAGGCCCGGCCGGCGCUUGCCGAUCAACCCAAAUUUUUAUCCAGGUUGACCUCGGAUCAGGUAGGGAUACCCGCUGAACUUAAGCAUAUCAAUAAGCGGAGGA